rnacentral:rRNA from 1 species
CCUACGGGAGGCAGCAGUAGGGAAUCUUCCGCAAUGGACGAAAGUCUGACGGAGCAACGCCGCGUGAGCGAUGAAGGCCUUCGGGUCGUAAAGCUCUGUUGUUAGGGAAGAAUAAUGUGCCUAGUUGAAUAAGCUGGCCACCUUGACGGUACCUAACCAGAAAGCCACGGCUAACUACGUGCCAGCAGCCGCGGUAAUACGUAGGUGGCAAGCGUUGUCCGGAAUUAUUGGGCGUAAAGCGCGCGCAGGCGGUUUCUUAAGUCUGAUGUGAAAGCCCCCGCUCACCGGGGAGGGUCAUUGGAAACUGGGAAACUUGAGUGCAGAAGAGAAAGUGGAAUUCCAAGUGUAGCGGUGAAAUGCGUAGAGAUUUGGAGGAACACCAGUGGCGAAAGCGACUUUUCUGGUCUGUAACUGACGCUGAGGCGCGAAAGCGUGGGGAGCAACAGGAUUAGAUACCCUGGUAGUCCACGCUGUAAACGAUGAGUGCUAAGUGUUAGAGGGUUUCCGCCCUUUAGUGCUGAAGUUAACGCAUUAAGCACUCCGCCUGGGGAGUACGGUCGCAAGACUGAAACUCAAAGGACAGUGUGUACGCGAGAGGCCCGCACAAGUGGUGGAGCAUGUGGUUUAAUUCGAAGCAACGCGAAGAACCUUAC